UACGUAGGUGGCAAGCGUUAUCCGGAAUUAUUGGGCGUAAAGCGCGCGCAGGUGGUUUCUUAAGUCUGAUGUGAAAGCCCACGGCUCAACCGUGGAGGGUCAUUGGAAACUGGGAGACUUGAGUGCAGAAGAGGAAAGUGGAAUUCCAUGUGGUAGCGGUGAAAAUGCGUAGAGAUAUGGAGGAACACCAGUGGCGAAGGCGACUUUCUGGUCUGUAACUGACACUGAGGCGCGAAAGCGUGGGGAGCAAACAGG
rnacentral:rRNA from 1 species